CGCAAGUGUGUUGAUGCAUGCUAUGGAACCGACAGGAAACAUGUACAUGGCUGUUCAAGGGUCAACCAAAGCAGUAAUGGUGCUCUUCGCUAUGCUCUUCAUCUCCGUUUCAUAUGCCCUUUUCCUAAAAAAAGUUCUCGGUCAGUCCAGAGGUGCAAAUCAGAUCCCCUAUCAACACCACAAAGAACAGGCUUAGACAUGGAUGGGGAGCGCAGGUUCUACCUGUACAAUGACUUGAGGGUCGUGUUCCCUCAACGCCACUCAGACGCUGACGAGGGAAAGUUGAACGUGGAAUAUCAUUUCCCGGAUGAUCCGAAGUACUUCGACAUCAACUGAAAAGUCUAAUUUAGCAUUUCCCUUGUUUUUGUUUACUGUAUUCCUCUGUGUACAUAUUCUCACAUAUACAUACACAUAUAUCGUUGGUCAUUUCAUCUCAAAUGACACUAACCCUGUUCUACCUUUGUCCAAAUUAAUAAAAAUUGAAUUAGGUUGAA